UUGGAGGGCAAGUCUGGUGCCAGCAGCCGCGGUAAUUCCAGCUCCAAUAGCGUAUAUUAAAGUUGUUGCAGUUAAAAAGCUCGUAGUUGAAUUUCGGGGUCAGUAGGUUGGUCAUGCCACUGGUAUGUACUGGUCUCACUGAUUCCUCCUUCCUGAUGAACUGUAAUGCCAUUAAUUUGGUGUUGCAGGGAAUCUGGACUGUUACUUUGAAAAAAUUAGAGUGUUUAAAGCAGGCUAACGCCUGAAUACAUUAGCAUGGAAUAAUGAAAUAGGACGUUCGAUCCUAUUUUGUUGGUUUCUAGGAUUGACGUAAUGAUUAAUAAGGAUAGUUGGGGGCAUUAGUAUUCAAUUGUCAGAGGUGAAAUUCUUGGAUUUAUUGAAGACUAACUACUGCGAAAGCAUUUGCCAAGGAUGUUUUCAUUAAUCAAGAACGAAAGUUAGGGGAUCGAAGACGAUCAGAUACCGUCGUAGUCUUAACCAUAAACUAUGCCGACUAGGGAUCGGAUGAUGUUAAUUUUUUAAUGACUCAUUCGGCGCCUUACGGGAAAC
rnacentral:rRNA from 1 species